ensembl:lncRNA
CCUGUCCUCCCUCUGUUGUCCCUCGUCCUCUGCUGCUGGGUGCUGAUGUCCCACUCAACGGUUCCUACCUGCUGGAUCUGGGGCCUUUGGGGGACGGGGUAUCGGGCCUUGUCUGUCUCCUGUCUCUGUCCUUUGUUUACUGCUGCAGACUAAUGAUGUAAAGUCAAACUAAUGAAACCUGCAAAACACCAAACAACAAAGUGAACUCAGCAAUGGAAAGUAAAGCAGUGGACCUGAAAGGGAACCAGUCCAUCAAACCACUGAGUCACAUAACAACUACAACACGGAUCAGAACGCCGUCAGUACAAAUCAAACUAAACCGCAGAUCAUCUCAAACUAGUUACGGCUUUCAGCAAAUUAAAAAUCAAUCCAACUCAAUGUUAGAAUCACAAAGCUGAGAUGAAACUUUUAGGGUGUAAACGCUGCCGCAGGAGAGAGAAGAGGAAACUAAAAUAAACGUCUAAUGAAAAUCCAUAAAAGCAAAAUGAAGUUCAAGUUAAGAAAGUAAAAGUCUAAAGUCACAACGAUAAUCAAUAAUCAAUCUUAUGUUUAAACGUUGAAUACCAUUCAAACUUUAACUAGUAGUGACGAUGGACCUUAACUCAAAGCCUAAAGCAAUAAUAACCCACUUAUCUGACAUUUAAAUACAAUCUAGUUCCACCACUGGAGAUCAAAUCUAUUCAACCUUUUCAGAAGGUCACAUUAAAAUCAGAGCGGCUCUUUAAAUUGGAAUCGAGAUCAAAUCCAAAUGAAGACAAAGCUGAUAUCAAACUGUAUCAAUGCUGAAAUGAUCACAAGUGAUAUUAAAGUUGUAUUUCUUACCUUUACUUGAAUGUCCAUCAGUGUUGGAGGGUGAACAUCAAUGAACAGUCCUUGUGUCCCUUUGACUCUAAUGAAGACAUUGUCUCUACAUCAUGUGAUUACUCCUGUAAACCAUAUGAGGCGUGUUGACACAACAGCUGAUGACGUGACAAUCGUUAGUAACUCUGCACCUCGACACGCUGAGAACACAAAGUACUAUAUUAUAAUAGUACUAUUAUGAUCAGCAGCCUGUGACCUGACUGACCCUGUUCACUGAAUACUACAGUACAUUCAAUGAUCACACCUUUGGCUUGAAUCCACACGCCGACCCGUUUGCAGAUGCUUGAGUGUAUUUACAUGAGGACGUUCUGUAAUAUCACAGUAAAAGUGCAGAACGGGACGGAAGUGAAUGAGUGAAAAACCAAACAGUGAAUCCAAUAAACUAACGAGUGCGUUUCUUCUCUUUGUUUGUGUUGUUUGUUCAUUGUGAAACAUUGUAAAUACUGAAUGGUCUUUAUUUCUAUAUUUAGUGAAUAUUUGCUUAUUAAACGGUUUAAUGUUAAUGUUCCUUUGCACACGUCCCAUGAAGCUUCAUCUGCAG